rnacentral:misc_RNA from 1 species
GAUGAAGAACGUAGCGAAAUGCGAUACUUGGUGUGAAUUGCAGAAUCCCGUGAACCAUCGAGUCUUUGAACGCAAGUUGCGCCUCAAGCCAUUAGGUUGAGGGCACGUCUGCCUGGGCGUCACAUAUCGUUGCCUGAUGCCAGUUUCCUCGUGAUGGGUGACUGUGCAGGGCGAAUGAUGGCUUCCCGUGAGCAUUGUUGCCUCAUGGUUGGUUGAAAAUUGAGUCCUUGGUAGGGAGCGCCGUGAUAGAUGGUGGUUGAGUGACGAACGAGACCCAAUCAUGUGAGACCCCUACCGAAUUUGGCCUUCAUGACCCACAUGCGUCUUUGGAACGCUCAUGACGAGACCUAAGGUCAGGCGGGGCUACCCGCUGAGUUUAAGCAUAUCAAUAAGCGGAGGA